rnacentral:piRNA from 1 species
UGAUAAGGUAUACAAGUGAAUAAAUAUA